rnacentral:sRNA from 1 species
AUGGCUGUCGUCAGCUCGUGUCGUGAGAUGUUGGGUUAAGUCCCGCAACGAGCGCAACCCUUAUCCUAUGUUGCCAGCGCGUAAUGGCGGGGACUCGUAGGAGACUGCCGGGGUCAACUCGGAGGAAGGUGGGGACGACGUCAAGUCAUCAUGCCCCUUAUAUCCAGGGCUGCAAACAUGCUACAAUGGCCGGUACAAAGGGCUGCGAGACCGCGAGGUUGAGCGAAUCCCAUAAAGCCGGUCUCAGUUCGGAUUGGAGUCUGCAACUCGACUCCAUGAAGCUGGAGUCGCUAGUAAUCCCGGAUCAGCAACGCCGGGGUGAAUACGUUCCCGGGCCUUGUACACACCGCCCGUCACACCACGAAAGUUGGUAACACCCGAAGCCAGUGGCCCAACCCUUUGGGAGGGAGCUGUCGAAGGUGGGAUCAGCGAUUGGGGUGAAGUCGUAACAAGGUAGCCGUACCGGAAGGUGCGGCUGGAUCACCUCCUUUCUAAGGAGUCCAAGCCUCUCCACCUGGAGAGGGGAUUCCCAGUUGAAGCACUAGCUAGUUGGGUCCGCCACCACCGAACAUCGAUCGUAGGUUCUGCCUCUCGAUGCCGGCGCUGGUAGAUCGUUCCGUCCUCUGUUCCGCUCUGAAGGAGUGCCCCGACGCCCUCACCGGCUUUGACUGGUGGGGGCUUCGCUGCGCCUUCGGGUCGAUCAUCGACCCCCUUCGCCCCUUGAGAACUGCAUAGCGAGCACGAGCAUCUUUGUUCUUCCAAGCUACAAAGAGCCAACGGUGGAUGCCUUGGCGUCUACUACCGAUGAAGGACGUGUCUGGCUGCGAUAAGCCACGGUCAGCUGCCUAGAGAGCGUUAUGAACCGUGGAUGUCCGAAUGGGGAAACCCGG